UAGGGACUCUUUCUGGGAUAGGUUUGGGCAUGAGACAAGCUGCCUCCACGGAUGGCCUAAGGUGGUCUGGCCUGGUUUGGCCUCUCCUUUUCUGCCCCAGCAGCUCUGUUCUCUUAUGUCCCUGAAUUCUAGAUGCCUUCACAGGUGAGAUGCCUGUGGGGAGGGUAUGAGGCAGAGGAAACGGGUUUUGUUUGUUUUUCUCCUUGAUCAUCGGCUUCCACGAGGAAUCCCAGAACGCACCUUGUGCUUCCUGGCAGAGGACAUCAAUCUGCUUAGUCUCCAGGGACGCUGCCUUAUUCCAAUCCUAGGCACCCUAGGCACGGGGCCACGCUCUGGGUUUUGGGAUCCGCAGGGCACUAGGACCCGGCGGGGCGAAGGGGACAGCCCAUGUGCCUGCGUUCCCUCCCACCCCACUGCUCCUGCUCCAUUGUCUGGGAACUGCAGCCGCGGGCCGGCGGCGCAGGGAACUAGCUGGCCACAGCGGCUGGCGCGGAGCGGGCGCGGGAGAUGUGGGGACAGAUUGCAGCCACCUGAGCCGCGCGCCGGUUACCCUCCUUUGGUGGGAAGGAGUGCGCCUCGAUGACUGAACGCAAGGCUGCGGCCCCUCGGGGGCCCUACGGUGCCUGGUUCUGCCUCCUGGUGGCUCUCGCCCUGGAAGUCGUGAGAGUUAGCAGUAACCAUGAUACCCUGGACCCCAUCUACCUGCCAGUGGCCCUGGAACUCCUAGAUGCCCCUGAGCAUUUUCGUGUGCAGCAGGUGGGCCAUUACCCACCUGCCAACUCUUCCCUGGCCUCCCGCUCUGAGACUUUCCUGCUCAUGCAGCCCUGGCCCAGGGCACAGCCGCUUCUCCGGGCCUCCUACCCACCCUUUGCCACUCAGCAGGUGGUCCCUCCUAGGGUCACCGAGCCCCACCGGCGGCCUGUCCCUUGGGAUGUGCGGGCUGUUUCCGUGGAAGCAGCGGUGACUCCAGCAGAACCCUAUGCCCGUGUCCUCUUCCACCUCAAAGGGCAGGAUUGGCCACCAGGACCUGGCAGCUUGCCCUGUGCCCGACUACAUGCCACACACCCUGCAGGCACUGCCCACCGAGCCUGCCGCUUCCAGCCAUCUCUGGGUGCCUGUGUGGUGGAACUGCAAUUCCCCUCUCACUGGUUCUCCCAAAGUGCCACCACAAGGGCCGAACUGGCCUACACGCUGGAGCCUGCAGGCGAGGGCCCUGGGGGCUGUGGCCUUGGCACAGAGGAGGAACCCAGGGAGCAGGCUCUCCCAGUGGGUGGUGUGGAGCUGCACCCUGAGGACCCCCCACAGUACCAGGAGGUACCUCUGGAUGAAGCAGUCACUUUGCGUGCACCUGAUGUGCCAAUGAGGCCUGGCCAGCUCUUCACUGCCACCCUUCUGCUUCGACACAACUUCACUGCGAGCCUUCUUACUCUGCGGAUUAAGGUGAAGAAAGGGCUGCAGGUGAUAGCUGCCCGCCCAGCCCAGCCCACCCUCUGGACUGCUAAGUUAGACCGCUUCAAGGGCUCAAAGCACCACACCAGCCUGAUCACCUGUCACCGUGCUGGGCCUGCAGGGCCAGAUUCCAGCCCCCUUGAACUGUCCGAGUUCCUGUGGGUGGACUUUGCAGUGGAGAACAGCACUGGUGGGGGUGUGGCAGUCACUCGCCCUGUCACGUGGCAGCUGGAGUACCCAGGUCAGGCCCCCGAAGCAGAGAAGGACAAAAUGGUGUGGGAGAUCCUGGUGUCUGAGCGGGACAUCAGAGCCCUCAUCCCUCUGGCCAAGGCUGAGGAGCUGGUGAACACGGCUCCAUUGACUGGAGUGCCCCAGCGUAUUCCGGUGCGGCUCGUCACUGUGGACAGUGGGGGAGCCUUGGAGGAGGUGACAGAGCACAUUGGCUGUGAGUCAGCCAAUACACAGGUCCUGCAGGUAUCUGAGGCCUGUGAUGCUGUGUUCGUGGCUGGCCAGGAGAGCCGGGGUGCCAAGGGGGUGAGGGUGGACUUCUGGUGGCGCCGACUUCGGGCCUCACUAAAGCUGACUGUAUGGGCCCCACUCCUGCCCUUGCGCAUUGAGCUGACUGACACCACUCUGGAACAAAUCCGAGGCUGGAGGGUCCCAGGCUCAGCAGAAGGCUGGAGCCUGAGACUGCUGCUGAGGAGGUGGAGCGGCGCUCCCGUGGCUGCCGCCUGCAGUACCAGAGAGCUGGUGUGCGCUUCUUGGUGCCCUUUGCGGCUCACCCGCUGGACGGUGGCCGUCGCCUCACCCACCUACUCGGUCCUGACUGGUUGCUGGAUGUGAGUCACCUCGUGGCAGCCCAUGCCCAUGUGCAAGAUCCUCGCAUAGCCUCCUUGGAAGGUGGCCGCAUCCUAGUGGGACGGGAGCCUGGAGUCACCUCUAUCGAGGUUCGUUCCCCGCUGUCUGACGCCAUCCUGGGGGAGCAGGCACUGGCUGUGACAGACGACAAGGUCUCAGUGCUGGAUCUGCGAGUACAGCCGGUGAUGGGCAUCUCACUGUCCUUGAGCCGGGGCAUGUCCCACCCUGGAGAAGUCACAGCCACAUGCUGGGCCCAGUCAGCUCUUCCAGCCCCAAAGCAGGAGGUGGCCCUCUCCCUGUGGCUGUCCUUCUCUGACCACACUUUGGCCCCAGCCGAGCUCUACGACCGCAAUGACCUGGGGCUGUCGGUCUCAGCUGAGGAGCCCAGUGCUGUUCUGCCAGCCGAAGAGCAGGGAGCCCAGCUUGGUGUGGUGGUGAGUGGUGUGGGUGCCGAAGGGCUGCCCCUACACGUGGCUCUGCACCCACCCGAACCCUGCCGCCGGGGCCGCCAUCGCGUUCCCCUGGCAUCAGGCACCGCCUGGCUGGGGUUGCCCCCUUUGCCCACACCAGUUCCUGCCCUCCCAUCCAGCCCUGUCCGGACCUCACCGUUCACAGAAGCCACGGUGGAGGGAAAGCGGCAGAUAGCAGGUGAUAUGGGGGGCCAUGUGGGUAUUAGGGGCAAGUUUGAGCGGGCAGAGGAAGAAGCUGGGAAGGAAGAAAAUGAGGCCAAAGAAGAGGAGGAAGAUGAGGAAGAGAUGGUGCCUGCCCCUCAGCGUGUCACCGACCUAGAGCUGGGGAUGUAUGCUCUUCUGGGCAUCUUCUGUUUGGCCAUCCUCAUCUUCCUGGUCAAUGGUGUGGUCUUUGUGUUGCGCUACCAGCGCAAAGAGCCUCCAGACAGCGCUACAGACCCUGCCUCCCCUCAGCCACAUAACUGGGUCUGGCUGGGCACCAAUCAGGAGGAACUGAGUCGGCAGCUGGACCGAUGCUCUUCCUCGGGUCCACCCAAGGGGGAGGGGGGCUGCCCUUGUGAAAGUGGGGCAGGAGGGGAUGCCUCAACCGUGGCCCCCAGUGCUUCAGAGAGCCCUGCUGGCUCCUCGAGCACCCUGGCCCGCAAAGAAGCCGGGGGACGUCGGAAGCGAGUCGAGUUUGUGACAUUUGCACCAGCACCCCCAACCCAGCCGCCUGAGGAGCCUGUAGGGGCCCCCGCUGUACAGUCCAUCCUGGUGGCAGGUGAGGAGGACAUCCGCUGGGUGUGCGAGGACAUGGGGCUGAAGGACCCAGAGGAGCUUCGAAACUACAUGGAGAGGAUCCGGGGCAGCUCCUGACCACUCCCUGACCUGCCAGGGGCAGCUUGGCCCACCAGCUCAGGCACUGGGACCAAUGGGAUCGCUGGCUAAUCGUCUUGCCUGACCCUCAUUCUCAUCCUCUGGUGCUUGUUGAUCUGAGUCCCCUGCUGGGUCCCCUCGGGGACCCCGUCCCAGGCCCCUUUCACCCCCACCCCUUGUCAUGGACUAUGGUCAAGAGGGAGGGCGCAUGCCCCUUAUUUAUGGGAACCACUUCAUUCUACUGUUGGGUACAGAAUAAAUGAGAAAAGAAUGGGCA